ACUCAAAUGAAUUGACGGGGACCCGCACAAGCAGCGGAGCAUGUGGUUUAAUUCGAAGAUACGCGAAGAACCUUACCAAGGCUUGACAUCGUCUGACAGGUAUAGAAAUAUAUUUUUCCCGAAAGGGACAGACAGACAGGUGGUGCAUGGUUGUCGUCAGCUCGUGUCGUGAGAUGUUCGGUUAAGUCCGGCAACGAGCGCAACCCUUAUGAUAUGUUGCCAGUAUUAAGUUAGGAACUCAUAUCAGACUGCCGUGGAUAACACGGAGGAAGGCGGGGACGACGUCAAAUCAUCAUGCCCCUUACGUCUUGGGCAACACACGUGCUACAAUGGGCGCUACAAAGAGCAGCGAGCCGGCAACGGUAAGCGAAUCUCAAAAAAGCGUUCUCAGUUCAGAUUGUGGGCUGCAACUCGCCCGCAUGAAGCAGGAGUUGCUAGUAAUCCCGAAUCAGAAUGUCGGGGUGAAUGCGUUCCCGGGUCUUGUACACACCGCCCGU
rnacentral:rRNA from 1 species